rnacentral:rRNA from 1 species
UACAGAGGUCCCGAGCGUUGUUCGGAUUCAUUGGGCGUAAAGGGUGCGUAGGCGGCUUUCUAAGUCUGAUGUGAAAUCCUGGGGCUCAACCCUGGAACUGCAUUGGAUACUGGGAGGCUAGAGUACUGGAGAGGAAACUGGAAUUUACGGUGUAGCAGUGAAAUGCGUAGAGAUCGUAAGGAAGACCAGUGGCGAAGGCGGAUCUCUGGACAGUUACUGACACUGAGGCACGAAGGCCAGGGGAGCAAACGGG